rnacentral:lncRNA from 1 species
CUUCUACCUUUGCAAAUGGAAGAGGGUGCUCUGGGCCAGCCUGGGGAGGUGGCUCCUAAACGGUGGAGACCUCGAAGAAUCCGAUUUCAGGAUGAUGGAUCGAGUUUAUGUAUUUAUUGUGCUAAGAGACUGAACCCGGGACUUCAUGCAUGCAAGGCAAGAGCUUUGGAACUAUACCCCCGGCUCCGGAGUUGUAAUGUUCACACCAAAUAAAGCCACUCGACCAAGUUCAGAAAAGUUCAGGAACCGUGUGCCAGAAUUUCAGUCUGACAGAAGAUCUCAAUUUGAGAAUUGAGGUUGGUAAAAAUCCAGGAACACCCCACCCAGCAACCCCAGUUCAGCAAGUUUGGGGAACCUUUUGCCACAGCUUUCAGAAAAG